rnacentral:lncRNA from 1 species
AAACUAUGCCCUCCCUGUCAAAAAUACUACAAAAUACGCUUGAAAAUUUGUUUGAAAACUUGCUAAUCAUUGAAAAUAAAAUUGCCCUCCAAAAAGUGUAAAACAAUUCAUAUAUUUUUUUUCAAAAAUCAUAAACAAAGUCAAAAAGACAAACAAAAAAGAAACACAAAAGACUCAUAUGAUAUUUAAAUUUGCGAAUUUAAUUGUAGAAUUUUAAAUAGUGUUAUUUAAAUUACAAAAAAUAAUUUUACAGAAAUUU